rnacentral:rRNA from 1 species
AUUGAACGCUGGCGGCAGGCCUAACACAUGCAAGUCGAACGGUAACAGGAAGAAGCUUGCUUCUUUGCUGACGAGUGGCGGACGGGUGAGUAAUGUCUGGGAAACUGCCUGAUGGAGGGGGAUAACUACUGGAAACGGUAGCUAAUACCGCAUAACGUCGCAAGACCAAAGAGGGGGACCUUCGGGCCUCUUGCCAUCGGAUGUGCCCAGAUGGGAUUAGCUAGUAGGUGGGGUAACGGCUCACCUAGGCGACGAUCCCUAGCUGGUCUGAGAGGAUGACCAGCCACACUGGAACUGAGACACGGUCCAGACUCCUACGGGAGGCAGCAGUGGGGAAUAUUGCACAAUGGGCGCAAGCCUGAUGCAGCCAUGCCGCGUGUAUGAAGAAGGCAUUCGGGUUGUAAAGUACUUUCAGCGGGGAGGAAGGGAGUAAAGUUAAUACCUUUGCUCAUUGACGUUACCCGCAGAAGAAGCACCGGCUAACUCCGUG